UUUUUCUUUUUUCUUUUUUUUUUUAGGGCCAUGCCCAUGGCAUAUGGAGGUUCCCAGGCUAGGGGUUCAAUCAUAGCGAAGCUGCCAGCCUACACCACAGCCACAGCCAUGUGAGAUCCGAGCCACGUCUGCAAUCUACACCACAGCUCACCUCAGCACCGGAUCCCCAACCCACUGAGCAAAGCCAGGAAUUGAACCCAAAACCUCAUGGUUUCUAGUUGAAUUUGUUUCUGCUGUGCCGUGAUGGGAAAUCCUCCAUUGACAUGUGAAUUGAAGCUUUAACCUCUUACAAAAUAUCUCUUUCUAAAAGGAGUUGGACUCUCUGGAACAAUCAGAAAGGCAUGAGAGAAAAUGGAUUCCCAGUCACAACUCAAAGGUGGUGUAAAAAUUUUUGUAACUGGCUUGCCGGAAAUAUGAAUGUGGCAGGUUCAUGAGGGCAGGGCCCAGGAUUGGAGAGGAGGGCUGAAAAGGGGCUCCCGUAUUCAGGAGGAAGUCGAUAGGCUGUCUGCCUACAUUUAGAGUCACCCAGGGCUCCAGAGUGGUGAUAAGGACAGGAGCCAUGAUGGAAAUGUCCCGUCAGUCUUAAUCCUGGGCCUGAGGGGUCCACCCCAGAGACCUUCGUCUUCAGGCGCAGUCCCUCUUCCAGUGAUCUCCCCAACAUAUGGGCACAGCCGAGUCUAAGGGCAUUCCCACUUAAAGGAUCCCUCUUUUCCACAGAGGAGACAGGCUCCAGGCAUAGGUCUCUGCCCUAGUCCUUUUGCCUUGGAAGCUCCCAGGUUGACUCCCUGAAGCGCCAUAACUAGAGCCUCAGCCUUUCUCUGCCUCUCCUCUUGUUCGCCUUUCCCUCUUCCUGGCCCCGAUUAUAACAUACUUGAGUUGCUGUUCUGAGGAGGUGCUCCAGGUCCUGACCAGGGCCAAAAGCCAAUUUUUGGAGCCCUCUCCAUACAUCUGGCACCAGUUGAGCUAUGAAUUUAUCCGUAAGAAUUAUUCGGCCCUGCAUUUUUUCUGGGUUCCUUGGUGUAUGGUUUCUCAAUGCCUUUCUGAGUCUUUCUAAGAAAGCGGAUGGACUCUCUGGUUCCCCUAGUAAACCACUGAUAGUUUUUAAAGUUUUUAACCGGCUUUACUCAUGAGGCUUUUAAUCCCUCAACUAUACAAGUAAUAAAAUGACUUCUAUGCCAAUUGUGCUUAUCUCCUCCUCAUCAGCAGACCAACUGGGAUCACUCAUAGGAACUGCCUGACACCGGGUGGGGGAAUCUUGCUCUAUCUCUUCUAAUUUGCCUCUGGCAUUUAUAGCAUCAUUCCACUCAUCUUCCCCAGCUUUGAGCAGUUUUGAAGAUUUAUGUUUUUUUGUUUUUUCAUUUUUUUUUUUCACUUAUAGUCAAUGUCUGCUUUCAUAAUAACAUGACAUCCUCCCAGGCUAACUCAAAGGAGUGCAUGAGACCCUGAAAGACCUCGAUAUAUCUGGGUCAUCAGCAAAUUUUCCCAUAUCUGUUUUUAUUCGCCCUAAGUCCUGAAGUGAAAUAGGCGUAUGGACCUGUAUUUGGUCCCCAUUCUCCGUUUGCCGCUUCCUGUAAAGGGAGUCGAGAGGGAUAUAACUUUGGUACUGGAGUGGGAAGAGGAGGCGCCUUGGGCAGUGUUGGAGAAGGCCGAUUCGCUUCUGGAGGGUCUGACCCAGCUGGGCCAGGAUGUGGUGGGCGCCUAGGUCCUGAGGGGGUUGGCAUAAUGUACUGAGAAAGUCCGCAAGCCUUCCUUGGUGUAGCGUCUCCCCUCACUGUAAAGAUCUGACACGAGGCACCUCUGACCAUUCCCUGUCUCAUCUAUCAAAUAGGUCUCGCUGGAGAAGAGUAUUAUCAGCUAGAGAGCCUUCAGACGGCCAUCGCUCUCCAUCUGACAGGUUAUGUAGUGGCCAGGCUUUUGUGCAAAAGAAAAUUAAACGUUUCUUUUUCAGAGUCUCAGGGCCAAAAUUUUUGCAGUUCAUCAAGGCACACAUCAGAGGAGUUGCUAUUGAGCCGUGCACCAGGCUUGAGGAGGUGGCUCCCAUCCGAAAAAGAGAAAAGAUCAGCACCCAGUGCCUAUUGUCCCUUCGUGGUUAUGUGAGGGCGUCCCCUCUCUUGGAGGGAGCAGCUGGGCAUUAGUGGUCAAACGUCCCAUCCGACCUCAGGCUGCCUGGAAUGAACCAUCUUUCCCAGCGCAGCCGCUCUUCCCGCCGUCCCUGCCCGCUGCCUGUCUCUGGACAGAGGCGAAGAAAACCCAGGCGUACAGGCCCUGCCCUGGGUGUUCGGAUCCUAAGAGGCUCGCUCUAACAUGCCCUCUAUUAAUAUUAGGGACGUUUCUAAGCCACAUUAACAGGCAAAUUGGAUGAACCAGCCGUGGAUUUCUCCAACCAGGGUGAAAGUAAACAGCAAGAAGCAAAAUUGACAUGCCCAGGCUCUGAGGCCAAACACUUGGCUUAAGUUGGAUGAAUAUGUUAGGAACGCCUUCUCCCCCCGAGGCCUGGGACCAACUCUGGGUGGUCUUAACAUCUAGAGGUCUGGUUCCCUUGCCCCCACAGCUCUAUUUGAGGUAAUAGCAAAGGAAAUGAUGAAAGAUCAGGUUAGUUUACACCUUAAUCUUCAGAAAAUCCCUUUUUGAAAUCUUUGAUCGCACAGUCUAGCACCAUGGGUUUAGACUUGGGCGAACCCACGGCGUCUUUCUGUGGAUCUUGUCUGUGGCCUGAUGUUAUGAGACCUCUGACUUCAUGGGUGGGAUCCCCAGUAGCGUUGCCUCGGCCAUUCCUGUAAGCAAGACAGCUGCCACUCAGCUCCCUCUAUGGCCGGGGAGAGCAGCUGCUUUGCUGCACGUGUCUCUGGCCCCGGGUCUGGGGAAGGCACUCUCAGACAAGUUCUAAUGUUUGGACAAAGGACAGGGGGCCUCAUACCCAAUCCUCCCUAUACCCUGAACGGAGCAGGGCAUGACGGUCUUGUCUCCCUGACUCAGAUCCUGGGCCUCCAUGAACUGACAAAAUGGGCAGUCCUACGGCUGGUUUAGAAUCUGGGCCGGGAGUUCCUGGAGGCCCAGGGGCGAGGUCAGGUUAGACGAUCUCCCCGGAGGAAUUAAUGGCCCAAAUGGCGGGAGCAAGCGGUCUCUGGCGCGUGGGCUUCGGGGUUAGGUCCCACCCCAUGUGGCCGCCCCGUGCGGGUGUCCCGACAAAACAAGGGAGGACGCCCCCUUCUCAGAAGGUGGCCAUUCAGAUGUCCGCCUGCCCGCCCCCUCUCGGGAGUUUAGGUGCCUCUCAGCCCCUGGCUGGUUCGUAUCAGCCCGAACACGGAUUGGACUCGCAGGGCGGGAAGAGAACCGCCAGCCAGUGUCCGCUUCAGCCAGAAGCCGAAUGAGGUCACCACGGAAGUGCAGGGCAGGACCCCCUCGGACUCCGCAGCCCCUGAGACGUGGAGCCACAAGCUGGACCCUGACGUGCAAGCGAAUCAGGCCGCCCUUCGGCCUCACACACACUCCGAGGUUAUCGCGCCCCCGCUCCCCGGGAGCCCCUCGCCGGGAGCCACGCAAGCAGCGCCUUCAGUGGGCUCCACCUGCCGGGGCUCCACCCGAGCAAGCGGUUCCUCUGCUUCCCAUCCGGAGCACGGGGGCUGCUGCUCGGUCAGGCACAGCUGCCCAGGGGAGUGGCGGUGAUCGGUGCCCUCUUCCGCCCGCCCGGCAGGACCCGACGGGGGUUGGCCCGGGGCCUUACCUUGUCAGGCCGCCUUCCUGCGAGGUGGCCCGUCGCGCCACUGAGUCCGGUCGGGGUUCAGUCACCGGCGUCAGGAAUGCCGCUCACGAAGGGGGACCCCGAACACCGUCGGGCGGCGCCGGCUCACUCGGUUCGAGGCUCCCGGCCCUGGGCGGCCUUGCCUCCGCUCCGGUGGCUCCAGGGGCUGCGACGGCUGGAAUCUCGCGGGGCCUCCGGACGUGUUGGGGCAGCCGCCCAGCAGCCCCGCGCCGCAGCGGACCCCCUCCGGCGACGGCCCUGUGCCCGCAGGGGACCCCCUCUUUUCCCGCGAGGAACCACGCGAGCCCGGAGAGCUGGAGACUCGGGCUCCCCCCCGCCGGCUCCGGGAGGCGCUCUGCGGAGUCUGAGCCCAGGAGGGGCCCCCGCGGCUCUUGCGAGCUAGUGCUUCCGGGUCGCGCUAGCGGACCGGAGUGAGAAUCUUGCGGGCCAGCGCUUCCGGGUCGCGCUGGCGGACCGGAGUGAGAACGGGCAGGUUCACCAACCAGACGUGGGGGGAGGGGCAGUUGGCCGGGUUCUGCUUCGUCAUCACGGCGGGGUCUCUCCUUUCUGCCUUUUAUCAGGACAUUUUCUCCUACUCAUCCAGCAGAGCACUGAAUUAUUUUUAGCCCAACACGUUUUCCAGUGAACAUGCUAGUCAUUGUGUAGUUGCUUCCCAGCAGACUUUUUGCCAAAACCUUAAAAGUCCAUUCGUUUUUACUAAAAAGUGAUCAUGAAAUAGUCUACGUUCAGAAUCAAAUCAUUGGCACCUUAGUUGGCUCAAACACCUAAAAUUGAAGUAUUUUCCAAGUAGUGUUUUCUCAAUAUUUUUGUCUGAGUUUGAAUUAUUAAUUAAAGGGAAAAAUAUUUCCAUUAUAUUUAUAUUACUUCAAUGAUUUGGAUAUUUAUAGUAUUCCAAUAAUUAUAUUUCCAAGCCUCAACAUCCAUACUUACCUCAGGCCUAGUAAUAAGAGUGUCUCAUAGGCUGUGUCUUCUGUAAGUUAAGAGAAUUCCAAGGCCUGCUCAAGCCUUCUUAUUCUGUAUAGGUAUUAACAUACAUAUUAAUAAUAUACAGGUCAGGAAAUGGCCGUCUGUAAAUUCAGGGAUGUUUCCUUUUGGAAUUGGAUUUCACUUUCAACUGCAAAAUUAUCUAGCCUGGUAGCACAUGAAAAGAAAUAUAUUUUUCAUCUAAUAGAAAAGGGGGAAAUAUAGCC
rnacentral:lncRNA from 1 species